GCAUCUCCGUGAGCACUCCUGAAAAUGUUGCCGGUGCGCACCCUCUUUGGCGCCUGUUUGCUCUGCAGCGCCGCAGCCAGGAGCCAAAAGGGGGUGUGGCAGACAUCAGCGUUGCUGGUCAGGACGGGUGUUUCCGGGCGCAUGCACUGCAGCCACAACCUGGGUGGAACCUACCUGCACAUGUUCUGGUACCGACAGCCACCAAGAUCGGGUCUAAUGCAGAUUGCCAGCACCGCACCCUUCAAGAGCCAGGCGGAAUUCCACGGAGACUCCAACCCGGACAAGCUGUCGGCCUCUCAGGUGGAGGCCAAGCGAGGGUCCCUGACAGUGGGAAACGUGCAGGCGGCCGACGGCGGCGUGUAUUUCUGCGCCGUCGGCAUGGUUCACUGUGCUUCACGUCUUUGGGGAAGCGCGCAAAAACUAAAAAGAUAGCCAUAAACAGAUGGGAAGUCUGUGACCCACUUUAAAGAACAGGCGGUAAGUGUGAAAAAAAUGCAACAUUUCUCUAACAUACCACACGGUGGCGCUGUCACAAUACCCCAUCUGGGGCAGGGCUGGGGUUUAUAAACUGAUUUGGCAUUAUGCAUGCUAUGGCAUAGGCGCGUGCACAAACAUUUUAUGGGGGUACAUAAAUUAUGAUAAUCAUUAUUAUGCCAAAUAAAUAUAGCUAUAAUAUGCAGUGGUGUGGAAAAUGGUUUGCCCCCUUCCUGAUUUCUUAUAUUUUGAUUAUGUAAUGGUAAUGGUAAUGGUUUAAUUUCAUUUGAACGUGCAUCAGAUUACAAUUGAGUGCAUCCCAUAAUCAGUUCCCAGUUCCACAUGUCCAAAAGGAGUAGGAAGAAGCAAAGCUUAUUAAAUCCUACCCCUCCAUCUGGUACUAUUACAAUCACUAACUGUUACAUUUGUUCACUUCCUGCUUUCCUCAUAUAGUUUGUUUUUUUAAUUUUUAUUUGUAUUUUUUAUUUGUUCACUUCCUGCUUUCCUAAUAUAGUUUAAUUUAUUUUAAUUUUUUUAUUUGUUCACUUCCUGCUUUUAUAAUAUAGUUUAAUAGUUUUUUUUACUUUUACAAUCAGUAACUGUUACAUUUGUUCACUUCCUGCUUUCCUAAUAUAGUUAUUUUUAUUUGUUCACUUCCUGCUUUCAUAAUAUAGUUUUAUAGUUUUUUAUAAUCAGUAACUGUUACAUUUGUUCACUUCCUG